rnacentral:tRNA from 1 species
AAAAACUUAGGAUAAUUCUUAAACCAAGAGCCUUCAAAGCUCAAAAUGAGGGUUAAAACCCCUUAGUUUUUG